UCAACAACAACUGGCGCCCCCACCGCGGGGCUCCUGAGUCCCUGAGGUAAAGAGGCAAGAGAGGCUAUGCGGGUGCGCGCGCGCACCCCGGCCUGCCUACGCGCGCUUUCCAUCGCAGCCACGUCAGCUGUCAUGCCCCCUCCCCCACACACGUCAGCCCUCCGUUUUUCACUGGCCGUCGCCGCGCGCGCGAUCCCGUCCCGCGUGCCAGCGCGCUCUUUGUCUUGGCCGCGGCGGCGCCGUUGGGGAGGACUGGGCUGAGGCAAAGGGAAGGCUUGAAUAUAUAUAUAUAUAUAUAUAUACGCAAAUUACAACCCGUGACUUGAUCCAAGUGCCUAUCACUCGAUGGUCUCGCCGGUUCUCAUUCGACUUCCCGAGCCACUUGUGCAGCUUUCGCCUUUUUAAAGUUUAAAAGGAUAACCUUUCGAGUAAAAUCCCACUGACUUGAGCGCGACGACGAAACACAUCCUGAGAACCUGGCUCAGGACACCCCCCCAAAAAAAAAAUGUAUUAGAAUUUGCUAUAUCUUUUAGCUGCAUAACCUGUGUGGUUUUUUUUUUUAAUGAAAAUAAAAUAGUUAACAAAAAAAAGCACCCAGUUCCUCCACAGCAGCAGAACAGCUAAGACUAACUGCCUCCCAUAAAUCAAUUAUUCGGGUGCUUUCAGUUCUAAUAAUAUUAUGGGAUAUCUUGCACUUGUCCACGUGGCCCAAUUGUGCUUGAGAUGAAAAACACGUUCUCUCCCCCCCCCCCCAAAUAGUUCUGAAUAACUGGUGGUUUGACGUUGAUUUUGAAUUGUAGCUGUUCCUAAUUCUGUCUGUCUUGCUGAGUAUUUUGGUGGCUGUUACUAAAGCCAGUGACUGGAGUUUUCUGGUUCA